GUUAUUAUUAAAUUAUUUUUAUUAAAGCAACUAUUAAAUAUUAUUAUUAAUUUUUAUGUUAUUAAAUAAGGCAGAUCGUUGGCACAGCAGAUAUAGCACUAGACCUAGUGAGAAGUCUUGAGUUCAUUUGUGCCCUCUGACACUUUCUAUCUGAGUGAUUCUGAGACUUAAAUUUUCAUCCUCAUUCCUUACCUGCCAAAUAGAUAGAACAAAAAACACCUACCUUCUGAGUUUAUUAUGAGGAGAAAAUGAAAUCUUUUUCGAGCACUUUGCAGUGUUAUAUAAAUGCGAGCUAUUAUAAUCAGGUAAAGCACUUUCCUCAAGUGGAGAUUUUGAAACAUUUCCAUGACAUAUGGAGCAAAAAGGACAUGCUGGGCAUGCUAAAAGGCGAUGAGUUAACAAAGGAAAGGAGAGAUCUGAGAAUUUGGAUUAGAACUGGAAAGACCAUUAGAGGCUAUCAAGUCCAACUCCCUCCUCUUGCAUGUGAAGAACCUGAGACUAAGGUAAAUUGCCACUUAUACAGGUCUGACACUGUUUGUACACAGUAUCCUAAGGCAGAAUUUGAACUCUGGUCUUCUUGAUUCAAAACCUAGCACUCUAUGGACUAAAUUACUCUGAGUUGACCUAACCAUCAGUGCAUAAGUAUCUAGGGAAUAUUUAUUUCAACAUAACUGAAUAAUUACAUCAAGUGUGGAGAUCAUUACUGAAAGUAUGUGUAUGUAUGUAUAUAUUUACAUGUUUGUGUGUAUGUUUUUUUUGUUUAAUUCUUUAUAAUUUGCCAAUGAGAUUCUUCAUCUGGAACAUUUUAUUAUAUGAUAUUAACUGGGCAAAAUUGAACUGUGUGCAAAUUUCACAAGGAACAUUCAUCAUUAAUGUUCUUCUUUAUUUUAUAUGAGGUAAAUUCUUCCUUUAUCUUGGUGAAGAGCAUUAUCCCUAAUAUGCUUUUGAGGAUGGUGUACAGUCUUCACUGGGUGUUCAGGUAAGACUAGCACAUCUGGCGUGAAGGCUUGGCAAGCCUUUCUCAGGGCUAUUGCCCUUGUUUGGUGUCUCCCUGCCACCCAGCUCUCACCUGUGGCUCCAAGAAGCUAUAGAAUGCACUGGUCAUACCCCAGUACAUCACCUCAGCAGGAGAGAUAAACCAGGUUGAGGAUAACUGACAGGGCUGCGACCUGUCAAUAAUUAGGCAGGGUGUUUAUCCCCGGCAUGUGAAGACUUCCCUGGCAGAAUGGAUAGAUGAAAACAAUUUGUUUCAACAGCCAUGAGGGCAGUUGAAGAGGGCAUUGUGGAGUGUGUAGAGAUUGGCCAGACAUCAAAAAAGUCAAGGCCAUCCACUGCAUCCCAAGCCAUCAUCAAUCAUUUUGUCUUUUUUUUAUCAUUGCACUUUGAUGACUCUGGAAGAGAGACUGUGUGGCCAAUGACUUUGCACAACUCUGUCUCAUUUAAAUCCAAACUUAUGUGCCAGUCAAGAGAUAUCUGAUGUAACUUUGGUCUUCUUCAAGUAUGAAGGACAACAAUCAACAACAACAACAAAAAGAACCCAUUUCUUGUUGACACUGAAGCAUCCAUAGCAACUCGUACAGUACUUAGAAACCACCAACUUUUCACACUUAACACUAGUUUGGUUUUUUUUUUUUUAAUUUAAACUACAGAACAAUCCUAUGAGGGAAUUACUACAGCUAGAACUAAGAACUCAGGAGAGAACAUCAAUAUACUAUAGAGAUACAGCUUAGACUACUUUUCAAGGUGAUGUACUAUAAUAGAGCAUUUCAUUUGAAGUAUGGAAGAUGUGGGUUGGAAUCCCACCUCACACACUUACUGUAUAUAACCUCAGGCAAGUCUCUCAAGUCUUUCUCUAGUCUGUUUCCUUUUUCAUAAAAUGGGAAUUAUAUCAAUUACCUCAUAGAAUUGUAAGAAUCAAAUAAGAUCAUCAAUAUCACUUAGGAUUACUAUGUCACGGUCCCCUUGGGCAAUCUGAUAAAGCCUUCAGAUUCUUUCUUGGAAUAAAGUUUUCAAAAUGAAAUAUGUAUCA
rnacentral:lncRNA from 1 species